rnacentral:rRNA from 1 species
UGGGGAAUAUUGGACAAUGGGCGCAAGCCUGAUCCAGCCAUGCCGCGUGAGUGAUGAAGGCCCUAGGGUUGUAAAGCUCUUUCACCGGUGAAGAUAAUGACGGUAACCGGAGAAGAAGCCCCGGCUAACUUCGUGCCAGCAGCCGCGGUAAUACGAAGGGGGCUAGCGUUGUUCGGAUUUACUGGGCGUAAAGCGCACGUAGGCGGACUUUUAAGUCAGGGGUGAAAUCCCGGGGCUCAACCCCGGAACUGCCUUUGAUACUGGAAGUCUUGAGUAUGGUAGAGGUGAGUGGAAUUCCGAGUGUAGAGGUGAAAUUCGAAGAUAUUCGGAGGAACACCAGUGGCGAAGGCGGCUCACUGGACCAUUACUGACGCUGAGGUGCGAAAGCGUGGGGAGCAAACAGG